rnacentral:lncRNA from 1 species
CUGUAACAAAAUCAAUUUCACAAUUCAGUAAUAAACUCUGUAAAUACCGUGUCAUAGCAAAUCUUUAUAUUUGGAGGCUUCCAGAAAAAGAUCAUGUGAUCAGCAUGACUGUGGGGACCCCUUCGCAAAAAAGAGUCAGAUAUCACUGUAAGUCCUACUCGAGGGAAAAACUAUAAAUGUAUAUUAGUUCUACCUUCCCACUAGCAAGGGCUAUAACUGUACUCGAUAAUGGGAAAAAAGAUAAGGUACACCAGGUCUAACGAACCCGUCGUUAGCUACGGGUUCCUUUACAGUCUCCUUACAUUCAUAAUUUUCUUUGUAAACAGUAAAUCUUCACAUGGAAGCAUUUUCAAAACAGUAUAGGGCAUUUCAUUUUUUUUGUCAAAUCAUCCAAUCCAAUUUCAGUAACGGUAAUCAUAUCUCUAGUAAUAAAAAAACAUGUCUAGUAACAGUGAGAACAUUUUAAAUAUUUGUAAAAAAAAUUCAAGUAAACUAUUUAGUACCAUAUCAAGUAAAAGAAUUUUCCCAUGUGCAAUUUCAACAUUCGGUAACAUGUUUUAUUUUUAAAACAAUGUAUAAAUCAUACAGGUUAUGAAAACACAAAUUGCGGUAAGAUUACUACUCAUUAUACUUAUGCUGAAAUACCAAAUGCGUCCCCACGAGCAAUCGGUACAACUUCUUCAACUACCUAUAAUAUCAUAAAACCAAUCUAUAUAUCAACCUUAUGAACUACUAAUACAAUCGGUUAAAUUCUGUUAAAUUUAACUAAUUCACUUUUUUUUUCUUGGAAUACAACUAUUGAUUCUCUGUCAAUUCAUAUAGGUGUAUUUCAAUGAAAAGAAAGAUGAAUCAUAUUUUUAUAUCUUGCUUUACAUUGUUUCUACAAUCUCUAAAUGAAUAAAAAUAUGAUUUAUUUGGAGGGCAAGAAUAGUAUUUGCUACAAAGUUCUUUAUAAGCAUUCAUCCUCCACAGAUGGCUAAAGAUUAACAAAAGUUUUACGUAUCCUUCAUUAUUUUCACUCACUUUUAGCCAAUCUCGUUAUUUAACUCCAAUUAUUAAGAUAUAUUCUCAAAUUAGUGAAAGAAAUUACCUUGAAAUUUGGAACAAAAUUGGCUGAAAAACUUCCUUUUUGCCGCACCAAAGGUUUUUCCCGAACUCAUCUUUUGUAAUUUGGCUUGUUGCCUUUCCUCCUCCUUAUCUUUUGAUUGUUUCUUCUUCUAAACCUUGUUAGCAGCAGUUGUUG